GAUGAACGCUGGCGGCGUGCCUAAUACAUGCAAGUCGAGCGAACGGACGAGAAGCUUGCUUUUCUGAUGUUAGCGGCGGACGGGUGAGUAACACGUGGAUAACCUACCUAUAAGACUGGGAUAACUUCGGGAAACCGGUGCUAAUACCGGAUAAUAUUGUGAACCGCAUGGUUCAAAAGUGAAAGACGGUCUUGCUGUUACCUAUAGACGGAUUCGCGCUGCAUUAGCUAGUUGGUGGGGUAACGGCCUACCAAGGCAACGAUCAGUAGCUGGUCUGAGAGGACGACCAGCCACACUGGGACUGAGACACGGCCCAGACUCCUACGGGAGGCAGCAGUGGGGAAUUUUGGACAAUGGGCGAAAGCCUGAUCCAGCAAUGCCGCGUGUGUGAAGAAGGCCUUCGGGUUGUAAAGCACUUUUGUCCGGAAAGAAAUCCUUGGCCCUAAUACGGUCGGGGGAUGACGGUACCGGAAGAAUAAGCACCGGCUAACUACGUG
rnacentral:rRNA from 1 species